AACUCUCUCUCCUGUACCAGUAGUGGGGGGAACUCUCUCCUGUACCAGUAGUGGGGGAACUCUCUCCUGUACCAGUAGUGGAGGGAACUUUCUCUCCUGUACCAGUAGUGGGGGAACUCUCUCCUGUACCAGUAGUGGAGGGAACUCUCUCCUGUACCAGUAGUGGAGGGAACUCUCUCUCCUGUACCAGUAGUGGGGAACUCUCUCUCCUGUACCAGUAGUGGAGGGAACUUUCUCUCCUGUACCAGUAGUGGAGGGAACUCUCUCUCCUUUACCAGUAGUGGGGAACUCUCUCUCCUGUACUAGUAGUGGGGGAACUCUCUCUCCUGUACCAGUAGUGGGGGUACUCUCUCCUGUACCAGUAGUGGGGCUACUCUCUCUCCUGUACCAGUAGUGGGGGUACUCUCUCCUGUACCAGUAGUGGAGGGAACUCUCUCUCCUGUACCAGUAGUGGGGGAACUCUCUCUCCUGUACCAGUAGUGGGGGAACUCUCUCCUGUACCAGUAGUGGGGGAACUCUCUCUCCUGUACCAGUAGUGGGGGAACUCUCUCCUGUACCAGUAGUGGGGGAACUCUCUCUCCUGUACCAGUAGUGGAGGGAACUCUCUCCUGUACCAGUAGUGGGGGUACUCUCUCCUGUACCAGUAGUGGAGGGAACUCUCUCCUGUACCAGUAGUGGAGGGAACUCUCUUCUGUACCAGUAGUGGGGGUACUCUCUCCUGUACCAGUAGUGGAGGGAACUCUCUCUCCUGUACCAGUAGUGGGGGUACUCUCUCCUGUACCAGUAGUGGGGGGAACUCUCUCUCCUGUACCAGUAGUGGAGGGAACUCUCUCCUGUACCAGUAGUGGGGGAACUCUCUCUCCUGUACCAGUAGUGGAGGGAACUCUCUCCUGUACCAGUAGUGGGGGGAACUCUCUCCUGUACUAGUAGUGGGGGGAACUCUCUCUCCUGUACCAGUAGUGGAGGGAACUCUCUCCUGUACCAGUAGUGGGGGGAACUCUCUCCUGUACCAGUAGUGAAGGGAACUCUCUCUCCCCUCCUCUCUCUUCUUCUUUUGUAGAAUGUUAAGGAAUAUAUUUUAAUGUUUUUAUUUAAGGAAGGUGUGCAUACUUUUAAAUGUAUUACUUUCAAUUCAAUUGAUUGUUUUUCUUUUUUUCCUGAAUAGAUAUGCAACACUGAAAGGUUAGAGGACAGCUUUGGCUUAUUGUUUUGACAGUCUGACAUUUUUAUAUCAUUUCAUGUAGGCUAUAUAGUGUUGCCUUGGCCUGUUAUUCUUACAAGCACACUGAUACACACACACACACACACACACACACACACACACACACACACACACACACACACACACACACACACACACACACACACACACACACACACACACACACACACAUGCAUGGGGUACAUGUGGUCUGUGACUACAGUGUGGUUGUGUGUGUGUGUGUGUAUGAGUGUAAGGAAUGUAUAAUGAUAGACCCAACCAGACUCUGGAGACACUAGAUGCGUCCCAAAAAGGAACCCCAGUCACUAUAUAGCUCCCUACGUUUGACCUGGACACAUAGUUCUUCCUAGUGCACUAUGUAGCAAAUAAGGUUCCUUUUAGGGACGUGGACACUAUCUGUGUUAUUUUCCACCAAUGUUAUUGUUUUAAUGAGGAGUCUAUUGUCUUCGUGUUCUUUUCGGAUGAUAAGUCUUCCUUUUGAAUAACCAUCCAUAUCACAUGGGAACACUACAGCUAAUGAUGUCAUCAAGGCCUGACUGCACUAUGGUGAUGAUGUCAUAAUGCUGAGUUCCGUCUCCGUUGGCUGUUCUAAUCUGUUCAUACAGCAUUAGCUUUUUUGUUACUAUACCGAUUCAGUUGUUGACUUCAAAUAAACGUGCAUUUGGGUUAA